AAAGCAAAUAUUAGUUGUAAAUUAGCUUCGUCGAGCGAAACGUGAUACUCCACGCCUCACGAUUUGCGAAGUACGCGCACGUAUAUAGUAGUCUGGUUAUUCCCUUAAACCGGAUACUGGUCUUUGCAUCUUCGCUUUGGGCUUGUAAUACAACUUGAGUUUUUUUACGAGAGAUUACGAAGAUAGGUUUUAUUUGUGGCGUACAUACCUACAUUAUUGUGGCGUACUUUGUUGUUAUUUUUAUUUUAUGUUCAAGCUUGCCUGUUUUACUGGUAUUUCGAGUAUUCUGUAGCGGUUUCUUUUCUUAUGCUAUAGUGGAAACAAAAACAUGAACAACAAAAAAAGUAGCCUACCUCUUUAACAUUUUUCUAGAAAUGUCGGAUGCUACAACGCUUAGUUUACAGUGCCAUACAGAGCAAUUAACUAAGUGGAGAUUUUAUUGUUCAUAGAAAAGAAUGACGUCAGUUGUAAGUAGGUGCCGUAAGAGGACGUUCGAGUAAGAAAAUUUAAUGGUCGAGGAAUGGGCAGUAGAGCCCUUUUUAAAACACUACCAAAGUCUGACUGUGGUUGCCAACCCGCUUGUCAAUGUUUUCAAUUUGAUGCAUUAGCUUUUGUGUGAUAUUGGAACAUACAUACAGAUGGUACAUACAUACAGACAGAUAGACAAAAUUCUGAAAAUUAUUGUGUUAGCUUCUAUUGAAUUUAUCUCUAUUUUAUUUCUUAUGUCUGUACAUGUCGUCUGUAUGUCGUCUAGUUACAAUUUUAUUAUAUUAUUAAG
rnacentral:lncRNA from 1 species